GACGAACGCUGGCGGCGUGCCUAAUACAUGCAAGUCGAGCGCGGGAAGCAGGCAGACCUUCUUCGGGAGGGACGCCUGUGGAACGAGCGGCGGACGGGUGAGUAACACGUGGGCAACCUACCUGUAAGUCUGGGAUAACCCCGGGAAACCGGGGCUAAUACCGGAUAGGCACCACGUGCGCAUGCAUGUGGUGUGAAAGGCGGGUUUUGGCCUGCCGCUUACAGAUGGGCCUGCGGCGCAUUAGCUAGUUGGUGAGGUAACGGCUCACCAAGGCGACGAUGCGUAGCCGACCUGAGAGGGUGACCGGCCACACUGGGACUGAGACACGGCCCAGACUCCUACGGGAGGCAGCAGUAGGGAAUCUUCCGCAAUGGGCGAAAGCCUGACGGAGCAACGCCGCGUGAGCGAGGAAGGCCUUCGGGUCGUAAAGCUCUGUUGUGAGGGAAGAAAGAGUGCAGGAGUAACUGUCUGCACGUUGACGGUACCUCACGAGGAAGCCCCGGCUAACUACGUGCCAGCAGCCGCGGUAAUACGUAGGGGGCGAGCGUUGUCCGGAAUUAUUGGGCGUAAAGCGCGCGCAGGCGGUCCACUAAGUCUGAUGUGAAAGCCCCCGGCUUAACCGGGGAGGGUCAUUGGAAACUGGUGGACUUGAGUGCAGGAGAGGAGAGUGGAAUUCCACGUGUAGCGGUGAAAUGCGUAGAGAUGUGGAGGAACACCAGUGGCGAAGGCGGCUCUCUGGCCUGUAACUGACGCUGAGGCGCGAAAGCGUGGGGAGCAAACAGGAUUAGAUACCCUGGUAGUCCACGCCGUAAACGAUGAGUGCUAGGUGUUGGGGGGAGCAAUCUCCUCAGUGCUGAAGUUAACACAUUAAGCACUCCGCCUGGGGAGUACGGCCGCAAGGCUGAAACUCAAAGGAAUUGACGGGGGCCCGCACAAGCGGUGGAGCAUGU
rnacentral:rRNA from 1 species